UAUAUAAAUGUUCAUAAGAUUUAAUUUUGAUAUUCGUAUAGGUUCAAAAUAUGAUUUUGCUAUGAAAACUUUGAUAUAUGAAAAUGUUUUGAUGUGAUGAUCAGAAACUUUUGCAUAUUGUUGAUUCUGCUAUUUUAUAAUUGAAUAUGAGAAUGUAUGAUUCAAUAUAUUCGUAUGUAUUGAGAGUUUUGCAUAUGCAUUAUAUUCGGGAUUUGAUGUUGAAGAGAAGGAAGUUUG
rnacentral:lncRNA from 1 species